GGGGAACUGAAACAUCUAAGUACCCGGAGGAAAAGAAAUCAACCGAGAUUCCCCCAGUAGCGGCGAGCGAACGGGGAACAGCCCAGAACCUGAAUCAGUUUGUGCGUUAGUGGAAGCGUCUGGAAAGACGCACGAUACCGGGUGAUAGUCCCGUACACGAAAGUGCACAGAUUGUGAGUUCGAAGAGUAGGGCGGGACACGUGGUAUCCUGUCUGAAUAUGGGGGGACCAUCCUCCAAGGCUAAAUACUCCUGACUGAC
rnacentral:rRNA from 1 species